GAUGAACGCUGGCGGCGUGCUUAACACAUGCAAGUCGAACGGAAAGGCCCAAGCUUGCUUGGGUACUCGAGUGGCGAACGGGUGAGUAACACGUGGGUGAUCUGCCCUGCACUUCGGGAUAAGCCUGGGAAACUGGGUCUAAUACCGGAUAGGACGAUGGUUUGGAUGCCAUUGUGGAAAGUUUUUUCGGUGUGGGAUGAGCUCGCGGCCUAUCAGCUUGUUGGUGGGGUAAUGGCCUACCAAGGCGUCGACGGGUAGCCGGCCUGAGAGGGUGUACGGCCACAUUGGGACUGAGAUGCGGCCCAGACUCCUACGGGAGGCAGCAAUGGGGAAUAUUGCACAAUGGGCGCAAGCCUGAUGCAGCGACGCCGCGUGGGGGAUGACGGCCUUCGGGUUGUAAACUCCGUUCGCUAGGGACGAAGCGUUUUUGUGACGGUACCUGGAGAAGAAGCACCGGCUAACUACGUG
rnacentral:rRNA from 1 species